GACGGAGGAUGCAAGUGUUAUCCGGAAUCACUGGGCGUAAAGCGUCUGUAGGUGGUCAAAUAAGUCAACUGUUAAAUCUUGAGGCUCAACCUCAAAAUCGCAGUCGAAACUAUUAGACUAGAGUAUAGUAGGGGUAAAGGGAAUUUCCAGUGGAGCGGUGAAAUGCGUAGAGAUUGGAAAGAGCACCGAUGGCGAAGGCACUUUACUGGGCUAUUACUAACACUCAGAGACGAAAGCUAGGGUAGCAAAUGGG
rnacentral:rRNA from 1 species